rnacentral:ncRNA from 1 species
GAGAAACUAACGAGAAGAUGAGUAGGACAGUCACCAUCCUGAGAGAGUUGCCGUUUGGUGCAAGGCAACGUUGGGAGCUGUUCGAAGAUGGUCUUUUAAAUCGUUUCAGCGCUGAGCUAAGGCUAGGUGCUGGCGGGGACGCUCGUUACAGCGUUAGGGUAUGCACAAUAGUAAGUACUGAUCAUAAAACCAGGCUUAGUUUUGGCGUACCCGCGAGGAAUGGCUCGUGAGGGUCGUUUAAACUAAGGUGGUAACGCGAAUGGCAUUUUCGUCCUUGUC